rnacentral:rRNA from 1 species
AUUGAACGCUGGCGGCAUGCUUUAUACAUGCCAGUCGAACGGCAACACGGGCUUCGUCCUGGCGGCGAGUGGCGAACGGGCGAGUAAUUCAUCGGAACGUGCCUAGUCGUUGGGGAUAGCCCGACGAAAGCCGGAUUAAUACCGCAUACGACCUUAGAGUGAAAGCGAGGGACCGAAAGGCCUCGCGCUAUUUGAGCGGCCGAUGUCGGAUUAGCUAGUUGGUGGGGUAAAGGCUUACCAAGGCGACGAUCCGUAGCUGGUCUGAGAGGACGACCAGCCACACUGGGACUGAGACACGGCCCAGACUCCUACGGGAGGCAGCAGUGGGGAAUUUUGGACAAUGGGGGCAACCCUGAUCCAGCAAUGCCGCGUGCGGGAAGAAGGCCUUCGGGUUGUAAACCGCUUUUGUUAGGGAAGAAAACCUCUGGGAUAAUACCCCGGCGGGAUGACGGUACCGGAAGAAUAAGCAACGGCUAACUACGUG